rfam:Ovis aries breed Texel chromosome 9, whole genome shotgun sequence.
UCCCUGGUGGUCCAGUGGUUAAGACUCCACACUCCCAAUGCUGGGUGCAUAGGUUCGAUCCCUGGUCAGGGAA